GUUAAGAAUCUUGCGCAAUGGGGGAAACCCUGACGCAGCGACGCCGCGUGGACGAUGAAGGCCUUCGGGUUGUAAAGUCCGAUAAGCGGGGAAGAAUAAGCAACGGGUAAUAUUCGUUGUGAUGACGGUACCUGCCUAAAGCCCCGGCUAACUACGUGCCAGCAGCCGCGGUAAUACGUAUGGGGCUAGCGUUGUUCGGAAUUAUUGGGCGUAAAGGGCGUCUAGGCGGGGGAUUAAGUUAGGUGUGAAAUCCCUGGGCUCAACCCAGGAACUGCAUCUAAAACUGGUUCUCUUGAGUUCGGGAGAGGAGAGCGGAAUUCCCGGUGUAGCGGUGAAAUGCGUAGAUAUCGGGAAGAACACCAGUGGCGAAGGCGGCUCUCUGGCCUAGAACUGACGCUGAAGCGCGAAAGCGUGGGGAGCGAACGGGAUUAGAUACCCUAGUAGUCC
rnacentral:rRNA from 1 species